rnacentral:tRNA from 1 species
GGCGAGCUGGCGGGGUACCAGAGCACGCUCGCCUCGGGUGCGGGCGAACUGGCCACCAACCUCCACAAGGCCGCCGAUGGCGCCGGUGAGCUCAACAC